GGAGCAGCUUCGGGUCCUUGAUGAAGUGCCCGGAUGAAGUUCCAGCACUCACGCGCCUUCCGCAUUGAGUGCAGCGCCAUCUUGAGAAGGGCGGAGCCGUCUAGUCUUGAGUGACAUCUGCUCAGAGAGGAAGUCCCAGAUUCGCAGCGGUUUUGCUUGUUGCGCAUGCGCACUUGCCCUCGGGGCGGGCCUUUGUGCCAGUGCCUGGGGGCAUCCGGUCUUCGCAGAGCGGGUCGCGGGGUCAGGAACUGGGUGGGGCUUGGCUUUAGCAUUUGCCCUGGAGACCUAAUAUUUGCGCAGGUUUCGUGAAGGGACAGUCUCCUACGAGGAUAUUAGUAGCAGUGUUUUUUAAACUGGAAGAAAGCCAAGAAGAGGUAGGAGAUAAAUGCAGUAAGGAUGCUGUUACUCUUAAUGGAAUUGAAAUCUAACAAGUGUUCUCAGGCAACCUCUGGAGGAAUCCAGCACACACGGAAUAUCUCCAGCCACCCCACAGCACAUCCCCAGAGCUUCAGCUCAAGAGCAACCCUGUGAGGGUGUAACGUCCCCCUCAAGAAACUGAACAACAGAGAGGCUGUCUCACUCAAGGUCACAGAGGCAUUAAAUAGCAGAGCCAGAACCUGAACCAAGGUCUGCUGGAUCCCAAAGCCCAUGCUCAUUCUCCCUACUCACAAGGAAUCAAAAGGACUUGGUGAUUAGUGUUCCAUCAUCCCUCACUUUCCAAAACUUUGUGGGAAGCAGUGUGUGUGCACCAGCCUCUAGCAUGCCCAGGGAAGAAUGUAUUCUGUUAGAUUACAUCAUGCUGAAGGAGGGAGGACUUCUCAUAUCAAGUGGAAUUUGGAGGCCCAGCCAGUGUUCACCCUGUCUAGGUCUGUAUUAGUUUUCUAUUAUUGCUGCUGUAACAAAUUGUCAUAA